rnacentral:rRNA from 1 species
AUGGCUGCACUGCAACCAUCGUUCUCGUCGCUAAUGGCUAUGAACAAUAGCUGCAACACCAUGAAGUUCCCCAAAACUGCACUUUUGCCUGGUUUCGGUGGCAUUUCGCGCCCUCAAGAUGUGCAGGACAGGAAUGCUAGCCUCACCUGUUCAAGGCCUAAGGCAGUUUCACUGACUGAUCAGUCAGUAGCAGAGCCAACAAAACCCAGGCAAUCGAAACAUACAGUUGAUCCUGCUGCUCCAGAAUUUCUGCCGCUCCCAGCAUUUGAAGAUUGCUUCCCACGGAGCACCAAAGAAUGCAGUGAAGUCGUUCAUGAGGAAUCAGGUCAUGCCCUGAAGGUUCCAUUUCGGAGAGUCCAUUUGACCGGAGAUAGCGGGCAUUUCGACACAUAUGACACCAGUGGUCCACAGAACAUAAGCCCAAGGCUUGGACUCCCAAAGAUAAGAAAGGAAUGGAUUGACAGGAGGGAGAAAUUGGGUAGUCCUCGGUACACCCAAAUGUACUAUGCUAAGCAGGGAAUCAUAACAGAGGAGAUGCUGUACUGUGCCAAACGUGAGAACCUUGCUCCUGAAUUUGUCCGAUCUGAAGUCGCCCGUGGACGAGCCAUUAUCCCUUCCAACAAGAGGCACCUGGAAUUGGAGCCCAUGAUUGUUGGAAGAAACUUCCUUGUGAAGGUGAAUGCAAACAUCGGGAACUCAGCUGUUGUGAGCUCCAUCGAGGAGGAAGUCCACAAGCUCCAGUGGGCCACAAUGUGGGGAGCAGAUACUGUCAUGGACCUUUCAACAGGGCGCCAUAUCCAUGAGACCCGGGAAUGGAUUAUUCGUAACUCCUCCGUUCCUAUUGGAACUGUUCCGAUUUACCAAGCACUUGAGAAAGUGAAUGGUAUCGCUGAAGACCUUAGCUGGGAAGUCUUCAGGGACACUUUAAUUGAACAAGCCGAGCAGGGUGUUGACUACUUCACCAUCCAUGCUGGUGUGCUGCUUCGUUACAUUCCUCUCACAGCAAAGAGGAUGACUGGCAUAGUUUCACGCGGUGGAUCAAUCCAUGCAAAAUGGUGCUUGACGUAUCACAAGGAGAACUUUGCUUAUGAGCACUGGGAUGACAUUCUUGACAUAUGUAACCAGUAUGAUGUGGCAUUGUCAAUUGGUGAUGGCCUGAGGCCUGGUUCCAUUUAUGAUGCUAAUGAUAGCGCUCAGUUUGCAGAACUGCUGACUCAAGGGGAACUAACUCGCCGAGCAUGGGAGAAAGAUGUGCAGGUGAUGAAUGAAGGUCCUGGGCAUAUUCCGAUGCAUAAAAUUCCUGAAAAUAUGGAGAAACAGCUAGAGUGGUGCAACGAAGCACCUUUCUAUACGUUGGGUCCAUUGACAACUGAUAUUGCACCUGGUUAUGAUCACAUCACCUCAGCCAUUGGUGCCGCCAACAUUGGGGCUCUUGGCACCGCACUUCUCUGUUAUGUAACACCAAAGGAGCACCUUGGGUUGCCUAACAGGGAUGAUGUUAAGACAGGUGUGAUAUCCUACAAAAUCGCUGCUCAUGCUGCUGAUUUGGCAAAGCGUCACCCCUAUGCACAAGCAUGGGAUGAUGCACUAAGCAAGGCAAGGUUUGAGUUUAGAUGGUUGGACCAAUUUGCUUUAUCCCUGGAUCCAGUUACUGCAAUGUCUUUCCAUGAUGAAACACUGCCAUCUGACGGUGCCAAAGUAGCACAUUUCUGCUCAAUGUGUGGUCCCAAGUUUUGCUCGAUGAAAAUCACCGAGGAUAUUAGAAAGUAUGCUGAUGAACAUGGUUAUGGGACAGUAGAGGAAGCUGUGAGGCAAGGAAUGAGUGAGAUGAGUGCUGAAUUCUUGGCUGCAAGAAAAACAAUUAGUGGCGAACAACAUGGUGAAGCUGGAGGGGAAAUCUAUGUGCCAGAAAGCUACGUAGUUCAAAAAUAA